rnacentral:rRNA from 1 species
UGCCCAGACUCCUACGGGAGGCAGCAGUGAGGAAUAUUGGUCAAUGGGCGGGAGCCUGAACCAGCCAAGCCGCGUGAGGGAAGAAGGUACAGCGUAUCGUAAACCUCUUUUGUCAGGGAACAAAGGCGGGGACUAGUCCCCGGAUGAGGGUACCUGAAGAAAAAGCAUCGGCUAACUCCGUGCCAGCAGCCGCGGUAAUACGGAGGAUGCGAGCGUUAUCCGGAUUUAUUGGGUUUAAAGGGUGCGCAGGCGGCCUGUUAAGACAAGGGUAAAAGCCCGGGGCUCAACCCCGGCGAGCCGUUGAACCUGGCGGGCUGGAGUUGGAGAGAAGUACGCGGAAUGCGUGGUGUAGCGGUGAAAUGCAUAGAUAUCACGCAGAACUCCGAUUGCGAAGGCAGCAUACCGGCGCUCAACUGACGCUCAUGCACGAAAGCGUGGGUAUCGAACAGGAUUAGAUACCCCAGUAUAA